AUUGAACGCUGGCGGCAUGCCUAACACGUGCAAGUCGAACGGCAGCACGGGAGCUUGCUCCUGGUGGCGAGUGGCGGACGGGUGAGUAAUGCAUAGGAAUCUGCCCAGUAGCGGGGGACAACUUGGGGAAACUCAAGCUAAUACCGCAUACGCCCUACGGGGGAAAGCGGGGGACCUUCGGGCCUCGCACUAUUGGAUGAGCCUAUGUCAGAUUAGCUUGUUGGUGGGGUAAAGGCCUACCAAGGCGACGAUCUGUAGCUGGUCUGAGAGGACGAUCAGCCACACUGGGACUGAGACACGGCCCAGACUCCUACGGGAGGCAGCAGUGGGGAAUAUUGCACAAUGGGCGAAAGCCUGAUGCAGCAAUGCCGCGUGUGUGAAGAAGGCCUGCGGGUUGUAAAGCACUUUCAGUAGGGAGGAAACAGUAGCCGGUUAAUAUCCGGUUGCCUUGACGUUACCUACAGAAGAAGCACCGGCUAACUCUGUG
rnacentral:rRNA from 1 species